AGAGUUUGAUCCUGGCUCAGGAUGAACGCUGGCGGCGUGCCUAAUACAUGCAAGUCGAGCGAACGGACGAGAAGCUUGCUUCUCUGAUGUUAGCGGCGGACGGGUGAGUAACACGUGGAUAACCUACCUAUAAGACUGGGAUAACUUCGGGAAACCGGAGCUAAUACCGGAUAAUAUUUUGAACCGCAUGGUUCAAAAGUGAAAGACGGUCUUGCUGUCACUUAUAGAUGGAUCCGCGCUGCAUUAGCUAGUUGGUAAGGUAACGGCUUACCAAGGCAACGAUGCAUAGCCGACCUGAGAGGGUGAUCGGCCACACUGGAACUGAGACACGGUCCAGACUCCUACGGGAGGCAGCAGUAGGGAAUCUUCCGCAAUGGGCGAAAGCCUGACGGAGCAACGCCGCGUGAGUGAUGAAGGUCUUCGGAUCGUAAAACUCUGUUAUUAGGGAAGAACAUAUGUGUAAGUAACUGUGCACAUCUUGACGGUACCUAAUCAGAAAGCCACGGCUAACUACGUGCCAGCAGCCGCGGUAAUACGUAGGUGGCAAGCGUUAUCCGGAAUUAUUGGGCGUAAAGCGCGCGUAGGCGGUUUUUUAAGUCUGAUGUGAAAGCCCACGGCUCAACCGUGGAGGGUCAUUGGAAACUGGAAAACUUGAGUGCAGAAGAGGAAAGUGGAAUUCCAUGUGUAGCGGUGAAAUGCGCAGAGAUAUGGAGGAACACCAGUGGCGAAGGCGACUUUCUGGUCUGUAACUGACGCUGAUGUGCGAAAGCGUGGGGAUCAAACAGGAUUAGAUACCCUGGUAGUCCACGCCGUAAACGAUGAGUGCUAAGUGUUAGGGGGUUUCCGCCCCUUAGUGCUGCAGCUAACGCAUUAAGCACUCCGCCUGGGGAGUACGACCGCAAGGUUGAAACUCAAAGGAAUUGACGGGGACCCGCACAAGCGGUGGAGCAUGUGGUUUAAUUCGAAGCAACGCGAAGAACCUUACCAAAUCUUGACAUCCUUUGACAACUCUAGAGAUAGAGCCUUCCCCUUCGGGGGACAAAGUGACAGGUGGUGCAUGGUUGUCGUCAGCUCGUGUCGUGAGAUGUUGGGUUAAGUCCCGCAACGAGCGCAACCCUUAAGCUUAGUUGCCAUCAUUAAGUUGGGCACUCUAAGUUGACUGCCGGUGACAAACCGGAGGAAGGUGGGGAUGACGUCAAAUCAUCAUGCCCCUUAUGAUUUGGGCUACACACGUGCUACAAUGGACAAUACAAAGGGCAGCGAAACCGCGAGGUCAAGCAAAUCUCAUAAAGUUGUUCUCAGUUCGGAUUGUAGUCUGCAACUCGACUACAUGAAGCUGGAAUCGCUAGUAAUCGUAGAUCAGCAUGCUACGGUGAAUACGUUCCCGGGUCUUGUACACACCGCCCGUCACACCACGAGAGUUUGUAACACCCGAAGCCGGUGGAGUAACCUUUUAGGAGCUAGCCGUCGAAGGUGGGACAAAUGAUUGGGGUGAAGUCGUAACAAGGUAGCCGUAUCGGAAGGUGCGGCUGGAUCACCU
rnacentral:rRNA from 1 species